rnacentral:misc_RNA from 1 species
UUUCCGUAGGUGAGCCUGCGGAAGGAUCAUUAUUGAAUAAACUUGGUUAGGUUGCUGCUGGCUCUUAGGAGCAUGUGCACGCCGACUCCAUCUUUAACCACCUGUGCACCUUGCGCAGAUAUGAAUAUUUCGAGGAAACUCGGUUUGAGAAUUGCUGUGCCCAACAGCCAGCUCUUCCUGUAUUCACGUCUACGUUUCUAUAUACCCCAUAUGAAUGUAUUCGAAUGUUGCAAUUGGCCUUGUGCCUUUAAAACAAAUACAACUUUCAACAACGGAUCUCUUGGCUCUC